GACGAACGCUGGCGGCGUGCCUAAUACAUGCAAGUUGAGCGCUGAAGGCUGGUACUUGUGCCAACUGGAUGAGCAGCGAACGGGAGAGUAACGCGUGGGGAAUCUGCCUUUGAGCGGGGGACAACAUUUGGAAACGAAUGCUAAUACCGCAUAAAAACUUUAAAAACAAGUUUUAAGUUUGAAAGAUGCAAUUGCAUCACUCAAAGAUGAUCCCGCGUUGUAUUAGCUAGUUGGUGAGGUAAAGGCUCACCAAGGCGAGGAUACAUAGCCGACCUGAGAGGGUGAUAGGCCACGUUGGGACGGGAACACGGCCCAAACUCCUGCGGGAGGCAGCAGUAGGGAAUCUUCGGCAGAGGCCGAAAGUCUGACCGAGCGACGCCGCGUGAGAGCCGGAGGUUGUCGGAUCGUGAGACUCGGUUGGGAGAGAAGAACGUUGGUGAGAGUGGAAAGCUCAUAUAGUGACGGUAACUACACAAAAAGAAACGGCUAACUACGUG
rnacentral:rRNA from 1 species